rnacentral:lncRNA from 1 species
UACAAAGAGAAGGCACGACACAUGCAAAAGAGAAACAUGGACAACUACACACAUGCAAACUGCACAGGUUGGAGGGCAUACACACACUCUACAUGGACAGCACACACACACAACAAGAAAGGCACGGCAUGGAGGGCUUGGCAUGGGCAGAAAAUGGGUGGAUUGUUGGCUGAAAUAAUGAAGAACAUGUGUGUGCAAAUGCAAAGGAAAAACACAUACACAUGGGCAAAGGAAAGACACACACAUGGGCAGAAAAUGGGUUGAUUUGUGGCUGAAAUGAUGAAGAACAUGUGUGUAAAUGUAAAGGAGAAACAUGGCAGAAAAUGUGUUUGUUUUGUGGCUGAAAUGAUGGAGGUCAUGUGUAUGCAAAUGUAAAGGGAAACAUGGACAUCACACACCCAUACAAACUGUACAUGCAAGGAAUUGAAGUGGUCCUCUCGUUAGCCUAUAAAUACAUCCACCAUUCCCCUUCCUAAGAACCAUCUUGAUCCAUCAAAAAAGAGCUUCAUUCACAAUCACAAGUCCCUUGCCAUGAGCUCCAUUCCAUUUCAUCCAUACAUUCGAACACAUCUCCAUACACUUCCAUUUUCCAUGCCAUGAGAUCCAUUCCAUCCAUACAUCCAUAAAUCCCACAUUUCACAAACACAAAUACAUUUUCCUUCCCUUGGCCGAGACAUUCACCAAUCCUAAAUACAUUCCUAACCUUUCCAUAUAUCCAUACACAUCCUAGACACUUGUGCCGCAACAAAGAGAAGAAUGAGGACCCUUGGACGUGCUUGCCAUUCAAGUUGGAUUGUUGGAGCGUUUUUAGGUGUUUUCAUUCUUUUAUUUUCAUGUCUAAAUUUGUUUAUCUUUGCUUUGUGAGUAUGAGGAACUAAACCCCCCUUAGCUAGGGGGGAAUUCGAAACCAUGUUCAUGCUUAAAAUAUGAUUUGAUUACUUUCAGUUGUGAUUCAUAAGUUGUGAAUUCAAUUUACUUAUCCAUUUGAAUUAAAACUGAUUUGUGUAUGUUGGUUGAGAGUGCACGCUUAAUUUUCAUGCAUAAAUCUGAUGCUAGGAUAUAAGGGAGUUUCACCUAAUCAUUAUGAACUUAUAUUCACAAGUAGUGAAGGUUGCUCGUCACAACCGUGUUAAGUAAAUUCUUGGCAUAAGUUUCAUGCAAUUCAUAGUUACAAGUGUUUCGUCAAUACUUAUGAUUUUCAUAGAACUUAAUGAUUCUUGCUUGUAUCUCUAUUAUGCAAUUCAUGUAGGGAACUUGUGGGGAAUGCUUUGGGUUGUUGUAUGCAAUCAUCCAAUUCAAUGAAAUUAGGAAAAUCUGAGGGUUAAUUAGAGCAAUUCCCAGUUAAUCUGGGGCGUUGAGAAUUCGUAGUUUAUUGAAAAGCAACUGGAAAUCGUUUUGUUUGCAAGUGUGUCAUGUGUGGAGAAUAACCUCCUAGCUAGCCUUCCAUCCAUUCAAUUUACUCAAAUUCGUGCAGAUUUCAUUAGUUCUUUAAUUUACUUGUUUUGUUUUCAAAUUCAUCAAAACCAAAACCCUGUUUACCUUGUUGAGUUGUAUUAGUUAGAAACUGAUUUACUUUGUGCUUUUAAGUAUUUCGAACCAAGUUGAAACCAAAAUUCUUCCAAAAGUGUGUUUAGAGUCCAAAUCUGCCCAGUUUGUGUUUUUAGGCAGAUUUGAGUGUUUUUAGCUUGUUUUGAGUUCUUUGAGUUUGUUUUGAAUUCUUUGAGUCUAGUUUAGUGUUUUAAACUUAAUUUUCCGUUUUUAAGUCAGUUUAGUGUUUUAGCAAUCCCUCCUAAUCCCCGGCCUAGAACGAUCCCUACUUACAUUCUUUACUACAAUUGACAACAAGAGGGUUUAAUUUGUGUGUUAAGUUAAUUUUCGCAUCAGCAAGUAGGGAUCGUUCUAAAUCGGGGAUUAACUAGGACUGCUAAUCUACUUAAAUUAAACUCUAAAACACUAAACUAGACUUAAAAACACAAUACUAGACUCUAUAGACUCUAAACUGACCUAAAACACUCAAAUCAGCAAAACUAGAUGAAAUUGACGCAAUUCUAGACCUAACAAUUGAUUUGGAAGAAAAUAAAACUCAAUUUGACACAAAAGACUAAAAGAAAACAGAUUAUCACUUAACUAACUCAAAACACACUUAAAAAGACUCAAAACAGCACAAUACUAACAAUUAGACUAAAACAGACUCUAGGGAGUAAAUUGGACGAAUUUAAGACUAAAUUGAGACUCAAACAAUGUUUAUGGACUAAUUCUAACUGAUAGGAGCAUAUUUAUGUGACUUAAUUAGCUUGUUUCCUUGCAUUUACGUUGCUAGUACUUAGAAAUUUUAGUAUUUUAAGCUAUUUUCGUGCAAUUUCAGGUUUUAAGGACAAAGUAUGCAAACAGUGCAUUUUGGAGCCUUUUGGAGCAAUUUUGGGCAUGGAAUGGAUAGCUUAUGCUUGGAGCAAGGUGGAUGGACGAAAUUGAAGAUCAAAGGAGGCUAGGAAUGAAUAAUGAAAUGAAGAAAUGAAAAUGAAGAACAAAGAGUUCAGAAUUGGAAACCAAAGUUUCUAUUCUUGGAGGUUUCCAUUCUUGAAAGUUUCUAUUCUUGGCUUGGAAGUUUCCUAAUCCUUCCUUGAUAGGAGCAUAUUUAUGCGACUUAGUUGGCUUGUUCUUAAGCAUUUAUGUUGUUUUUCUU